AUUGAACGCUGGCGGCAGGCUUAACACAUGCAAGUCGAACGAGUGGCGGACGGGUGAGUAAUGCUUGGGAAACUGGCUUAUGGAGGGGGAUAACUACGGGAAACUGUAGCUAAUACCGCAUACCAUCGGAUGAGCCCAGGUGGGAUUAGGUAGUUGGUGGGCUAACGGCUCACCAAGCCGACGAUCCCUAGCUGGUCUGAGAGGAUGACCAGCCACACUGGAACUGAGACACGGCCAAGACUCCUACGGGAGGCAGCAGUGGGGAAUAUUGCGCAAUGGGGGCAACCUGACGCAGCCAUGCCGCGUGAAUGAAGAAGGCCUUCGGGUUGUAAAGUUCUUUCGGGAGGGAGGCGUUACCUACAGAAGAAGCACCGGCUAACUCCGUGCCAGCAGCCGCGGUAAUUC
rnacentral:rRNA from 1 species